UACACUUCUUCCAAGAGGUCCUUGUUGAUUCAGCCCAGGUUGCUGGCAAGGAUGACCGGAUGCAUUCCUGUUACCUGCAGUGGCUGUCUUGGUGGUGGGCUAUGCAGACUGUGUCAGCAAGAGAGCAGCAAGGGAUGGCAACAGAAAAAAGUGGUCUUAGUCUGCCACGGAAUGGGAUCCAUUUGCUGCCAGGAGGAUACCUGAUACAUAGUCUGAUUACCAGGAGAUACAAGCGCCUGAUUCUUCACAGCUUGGAAGUGGAUACAGCUAUUUGCAUAGAUUAUUCCUGGUCCAGCACAGGUCCCUGCCUGAAUGCAGAAUGAGAGUCUUUCCURCCAUGGAAAGUUCCUCUGUGUUUGCCCAGGAAAGAUGCAGGCACAGAGCAUCCUGGAAGAUGGUGGCCGAAAACUUCCAGCAUUCAAACUUCACCUACCAAGACCACUAAAAUGAGAUCGACUUAAAAAUAAUACGAUUUUAAAAAGGAAUAAUUAGUGGUUAUUUAUAUUUGCCUUAUGAUUUCUAAGCUUUUUGUGUUUUAUGUUUCAAGUUUUUCCAUACAAUCCUGAGGGCCGAGCUAGAAAGUUCCUUACUUUAAAUUAACAUUGAAAUUUUCAUGUAAUUAACUGUUUCCUGGAGAUGACUAACUAUCAGAAGACUUGGAAUAAGCUCUCAAGAGUUGAUCACACUGUCAUACCUAUGUGCAAGUGCCAUUCAUUGCUUAGGGAUUCACUUAGUGAUGGAAUUUUAGGAGCAUGGAAAGAUAUUCCUUAGAAGUCAAAUUCAGUCAAAAGGAAUUCAAAUAGGAGAGAGGAAUAGUGGUAACAACAUAACAUAAAGUCAGAGAGCUGCCAGCAAUGCUGAGGACAAUUAAUUCAUAGUGUGAAUUAAUUUGCUGUUUUGACUGUGUCAAUAAUUACCUGCAACAACCUCUGAACUACAUUUUCCUGACUGAGAUCUUCCUAAUUUGAUCUUCUAGCAUGGUGGGGCCACUGCAGAAGGGAGUCUUGCAUGUUUUAAAAUGAUUUAAGGAUGCGCACCCUGAAAAAGUGUUUCCUUUAAUGGCU
rnacentral:lncRNA from 1 species